ACGGGUGAGGAAUACAUCGGAAUCUACCUUUUCGUGGGGGAUAACGUAGGGAAACUUACGCUAAUACCGCAUACGACCUUCGGGUGAAAGCAGGGGACCUUCGGGCCUUGCGCGGAUAGAUGAGCCGAUGUCGGAUUAGCUAGUUGGCGGGGUAAAGGCCCACCAAGGCGACGAUCCGUAGCUGGUCUGAGAGGAUGAUCAGCCACACUGGAACUGAGACACGGUCCAGACUCCUACGGGAGGCAGCAGUGGGGAAUAUUGGACAAUGGGCGCAAGCCUGAUCCAGCCAUACCGCGUGGGUGAAGAAGGCCUUCGGGUUGUAAAGCCCUUUUGUUGGGAAAGAAAAGCAAUCGAUUAAUACCCGGUUGUUCUGACGGUACCCAAAGAAUAAGCACCGGCUAACUUCGUGCCAGCAGCCGCGGUAAUACGAAGGGUGCAAGCGUUACUCGGAAUUACUGGGCGUAAAGCGUGCGUAGGUGGUUGUUUAAGUCUGUUGUGAAAGCCCUGGGCUCAACCUGGGAAUUGCAGUGGAUACUGGGCAACUAGAGUGUGGUAGAGGGUAGUGGAAUUCCCGGUG
rnacentral:rRNA from 1 species